rnacentral:rRNA from 1 species
CUUGCUCCUGCUGGAUCAGUGGCGAACGGGUGAGUAACACGUGAGUAACCUGCCCUUGACUCUGGGAUAAGCGUUGGAAACGACGUCUAAUACCGGAUACGAGCUUCAGCCGCAUGGCUAGGAGUUGGAAAGAAUUUCGGUCAAGGAUGGACUCGCGGCCUAUCAGCUUGUUGGUGAGGUAAUGGCUCACCAAGGCGACGACGGGUAGCCGGCCUGAGAGGGUGACCGGCCACACUGGGACUGAGACACGGCCCAGACUCCUACGGGAGGCAGCAGUGGGGAAUAUUGCACAAUGGGCGCAAGCCUGAUGCAGCAACGCCGCGUGAGGGACGACGGCCUUCGGGUUGUAAACCUCUUUUAGCAGGGAAGAAGCGCAAGUGACGGUACCUGCAGAAAAAGCACCGGCUAACUACGUGCCAGCAGCCGCGGUAAUACGUAGGGUGCAAGCGUUGUCCGGAAUUAUUGGGCGUAAAGAGCUCGUAGGCGGUUUGUCGCGUCUGCUGUGAAAACGCGAGGCUCAACCUCGCGCCUGCAGUGGGUACGGGCAGACUAGAGUGCGGUAGGGGAGAUUGGAAUUCCUGGUGUAGCGGUGGAAUGCGCAGAUAUCAGGAGGAACACCGAUGGCGAAGGCAGAUCUCUGGGCCGUAACUGACGCUGAGGAGCGAAAGCGUGGGGAGCGAACAGGAUUAGAUAC